AGCAGGUGAAGGGGUGUAGCAAUUAACAGAACCUCCGUCAUAUAGCUGCGCCCUGGAGUUUUCUCUGCCAGCAGGUUUUCGAGGAUCAAAAGGUGUAUAUCAGCGACAGGGCAAGCAUCUUGGUCCUCCUUGGGAUCAGUUGAGGCAGCUCUAGCAGACCAAUCCCAUCCAUUCUUCAGAGCAGGAGGAACUGCAGCAGGUGAAGGGGUGUAGCAAUUAACAGAACCUCCGUCAUAUAGCUGCGCCCUGGAGUUUUCUCUGCCAGCAGGUUUUCGAGGAUCAAAAGGUGUAGACCAGUUAUUCCUAGAACCCCGUCCUGGUCCAACAUUGUUACGCAUGCCCAAUUUCUGAACGACAUCUGGAUGACCCCAAGCUUUGGUAUUCUGGUUUCCCCAAGUUUUCAGA
rnacentral:lncRNA from 1 species